rnacentral:lncRNA from 1 species
UGUACACACAUACACACAUACAUACAUACAUAUCAACAUCCAAAUUGGAUGAUUAAGUCCAACUAUGAUUUGUCUUCACGCCUAUUAAAAAGAAGAGUGCACUAAAGAUAAUAUGACAAUGGUGAUGAUAUUACAUUCCCCAAAUCAAUUCAUUUUUUUUAAUUGUGUACAAAAACAACAUGAACAAUAAAACAAGCAAACAAACAAGAAAACUUGUAUAUUGAAGAGCUUACCAGUAGUAUUGAGGAUGAAGAAUGGUCUUCAUACAGAGUUCACAAAGUUCAAUUGCAUUCCCAGAAAGAGUUUCAACUGGGUGUGAAAGAGUUUCACAAGAUCCCCAUCUUCCAAAAUGGACCCAGAAUGUUACUAUCCCAUCGUCAAUUAUUUGUUUGUUGCCCUACAAAAAUCUUCUAAUGUUGAAUUUACAUUUACACAACCCCUGGAAAAUUCCUUGACAGCACAUAACAAAUCAGAGAACUAUAUUUUGGAUGUGCUGGAAAUCAAAGGCUCUUGAAGGCAAAAGGAAGGAGCCCAUGCAACAACAAGAGGGAAGUUGGUAAGGAAAAGGAUAUGUCUCUGUCUGUGGUUUCCUCAUCUCAUCCAGAUGCCAAUCUCCACGUGUGUGUUUGUUUGUCUGUGUGCGAGUGAGAGUAUGUGAGUGUGUGUGUGAGUGUGUAUUCAGGCUCAUCAUGGAUUCCUUCCACAGAGCCAAAGGCAAGCAGCCAAAACUCUGCAUUGCACAGCACUGCCUUAAAACCAAUCACAUUCCCAUUUCAUUAUGUUGUAUGCAUGACUACCCAGUGAGGUUGCCAGCACCCCACCUCCAUCUAGACAGGAAAAUAAGAUGAAAAAUGAAUGAAUCAUGAUUUAUACUCACACAGCAAGAGAGAGAGAGAGAGAGAGAGAGAGAGAACAAAGAUACAGUGUUCUGUAUAGAAAAUUCUCUUGCAGUGUAUAGAAAGGUGUGUGGAGUAUUAUACUCAUGAGGGUAAGAAUAUAUAUAUAUAUAUAUAUAAAAAUGAGACAUAAAUAAACAAAACAAGACCUGACCAGAAUUAACUGU